rnacentral:rRNA from 1 species
GAUGAACGCUAGCGAUAGGCCUAACACAUGCAAGUCGAGGGGCAUCACAUGAAGUAGCAAUACGGAUGGUGGCGACCGGCGCACGGGUGAGUAACACGUAUGCAACCUGCCUUCAACAAGGGGAUAACCCGUUGAAAGACGGACUAAUACCCUAUAACACAGGGGUCCCGCAUGGGAAUAUUUGUUAAAGGACAACCGGUUGAAGAUGGGCAUGCGUUCCAUUAGCUAGUUGGCGGGUAACGGCCCACCAAGGCAACGAUGGAUAGGGGAACUGAGAGGUUUAUCCCCCACACUGGUACUGAGACACGGACCAGACUCCUACGGGAGGCAGCAGUGAGGAAUAUUGGUCAAUGGACGCAAGUCUGAACCAGCCACGUCGCGUGAAGGAAGACGGCCCUACGGGUUGUAAACUUCUUUUAUACGGGAAUAAAGUGUAGUACGCGUACUAUUUUGCAUG